UACGUAGGGUCCGAGCGUUGUCCGGAAUUACUGGGCGUAAAGAGCUCGUAGGUGGUUUGUCGCGUUGUUCGUGAAGACUCACAGCUUAACUGUGGGCGUGCGGGCGAUACGGGCAGACUUGAGUACUGCAGGGGAGACUGGAAUUUCUGGUGUAGCGGUGGAAUGCGCAGAUAUCGGGAGGAACACCAGUGGCGAAGGCGGCCCUCUGGGCCGGGACUGACGCUGAGACGCGAGGGCGUGGGGAGCGAACGGG
rnacentral:rRNA from 1 species